UACGAAGGGGGCUAGCGUUGUUCGGAAUUACUGGGCGUAAAGCGCACGUAGGCGGACAUUUAAGUCAGGGGUGAAAUCCCAGAGCUCAACUCUGGAACUGCCUUUGAUACUGGGUGUCUUGAGUAUGGAAGAGGUGAGUGGAAUUCCGAGUGUAGAGGUGAAAUUCGUAGAUAUUCGGAGGAACACCAGUGGGCGAAGGCGGCUCACUGGUCCGAUU
rnacentral:rRNA from 1 species